rnacentral:rRNA from 1 species
AGCGAACGUUAGCGGCGGGCUUAACACAUGCAAGUCGAGCGAGAAAGGGGCUUCGGCCCUGAGUACAGCGGCGGACGGGUGAAUAACACGUAGGUAACCUUCCUUUCAGCGGGGGACAACGGUCCGAAAGGACCCGCUAAUACCGCAUACGUUCCCUGGGACCUCGGUCCUGGGGAGGAAAGGCCCGCAAGGGCCACUGGAUGAGGGGCCUGCGUAGCAUCAGCUAGUUGGUGGGGUAAUGGCCUACCAAGGCGAAGACGCUUAGCUGGUCUGAGAGGAUGAUCAGCCACACUGGGACUGAGACACGGCCCAGACUCCUACGGGAGGCAGCAGUGGGGAAUAUUGGACAAUGGGCGCAAGCCUGAUCCAGCCACGCCGCGUGAGUGAUGAAGGCCUUCGGUCGUAAAGCUCUGUGGGGAGGACGAACGGCGCCAUGAAGAGUGGCGAUUGACGGUACCUCCUUAGCAAGCACCGGCUAACUCGUGCAGCAGCCGCGGUAUCUAC